GGUUAAGCGACUAAGCGUACACGGUGGAUGCCCUGGCAGUCAGAGGCGAUGAAGGGCGUGCUAAUCUGCGAUAAGCGCCGGUAAGGUGAUAUGAACCGUUAUAACCGGCGAUACCCGAAUGGGGAAACCCAGUGUGUUUCGACACACUAUCAUUAACUGAAUCCAUAGGUUAAUGAGGCGAACCGGGGGAACUGAAACAUCUAAGUACCCCGAGGAAAAGAAAUCAACCGAGAUUCCCCCAGUAGCGGCGAGCGAACGGGGAGGAGCCCAGAGCCUGAAUCAGCAUGUGUGUUAGUGGAAGCGUCUGGAAAGGCGCGCGAUACAGGGUGACAGCCCCGUACACAAAAGCGCAUGUGCUGUGAGCUCGAUGAGUAGGGCGGGACACGUGGUAUCCUGUCUGAAUAUGGGGGGACCAUCCUCCAAGGCUAAAUACUCCUGACUGACCGAUAGUGAACCAGUACCGUGAGGGAAAGGCGAAAAGAACCCCGGCGAGGGGAGUGAAAAAGAACCUGAAACCGUGUACGUACAAGCAGUGGGAGCACCCUUUGGGGUGUGACUGCGUACCUUUUGUAUAAUGGGUCAGCGACUUAUAUUCUGUAGCAAGGUUAACCGAAUAGGGGAGCCGGAGGGAAACCGAGUCUUAACCGGGCGUUAAGUUGCAGGGUAUAGACCCGAAACCCGGUGAUCUAGCCAUGGGCAGGUUGAAGGUUGGGUAACACUAACUGGAGGACCGAACCGACUAAUGUUGAAAAAUUAGCGGAUGACCUGUGGCUGGGGGUGAAAGGCCAAUCAAACCGGGAGAUAGCUGGUUCUCCCCGAAAGCUAUUUAGGUAGCGCCUCGUGAAUUCAUCUCCGGGGGUAGAGCACUGUUUCGGCUAGGGGGCCAUCCCGGCUUACCAACCCGAUGCAAACUGCGAAUACCGGAGAAUGUUAUCACGGGAGACACACGGCGGGUGCUAACGUCCGUCGUGAAGAGGGAAACAACCCAGACCGCCAGCUAAGGUCCCAAAGUCAUGGUUAAGUGGGAAACGAUGUGGGAAGGCCCAGACAGCCAGGAUGUUGGCUUAGAAGCAGCCAUCAUUUAAAGAAAGCGUAAUAGCUCACUGGUCGAGUCGGCCUGCGCGGAAGAUGUAACGGGGCUAAACCAUGCACCGAAGCUGCGGCAGCGACGCUGAUGCGUUGUUGGGUAGGGGAGCGUUCUGUAAGCCUGCGAAGGUGGCCUGUGAGGGUUGCUGGAGGUAUCAGAAGUGCGAAUGCUGACAUAAGUAACGAUAAAGCGGGUGAAAAGCCCGCUCGCCGGAAGACCAAGGGUUCCUGUCCAACGUUAAUCGGGGCAGGGUGAGUCGACCCCUAAGGCGAGGCCGAAAGGCGUAGUCGAUGGGAAACGGGUUAAUAUUCCCGUACUUGGUGUUACUGCGAAGGGGGGACGGAGAAGGCUAUGUUGGCCGGGCGACGGUUGUCCCGGUUUAAGCGUGUAGGUGUGUGUUCCAGGUAAAUCCGGUUCACUUUAACACUGAGGCGUGAUGACGAGGCACUACGGUGCUGAAGCAACAAAUGCCCUGCUUCCAGGAAAAGCCUCUAAGCAUCAGGUAACAUCAAAUCGUACCCCAAACCGACACAGGUGGUCAGGUAGAGAAUACCAAGGCGCUUGAGAGAACUCGGGUGAAGGAACUAGGCAAAAUGGUGCCGUAACUUCGGGAGAAGGCACGCUGACACGUAGGUGAAGUGAUUUACUCAUGGAGCUGAAGUCAGUCGAAGAUACCAGCUGGCUGCAACUGUUUAUUAAAAACACAGCACUGUGCAAACACGAAAGUGGACGUAUACGGUGUGACGCCUGCCCGGUGCCGGAAGGUUAAUUGAUGGGGUCAGCGCAAGCGAAGCUCCUGAUCGAAGCCCCGGUAAACGGCGGCCGUAACUAUAACGGUCCUAAGGUAGCGAAAUUCCUUGUCGGGUAAGUUCCGACCUGCACGAAUGGCGUAAUGAUGGCCAGGCUGUCUCCACCCGAGACUCAGUGAAAUUGAACUCGCUGUGAAGAUGCAGUGUACCCGCGGCAAGACGGAAAGACCCCGUGAACCUUUACUAUAGCUUGACACUGAACAUUGAGCCUUGAUGUGUAGGAUAGGUGGGAGGCUUUGAAGUGUGGACGCCAGUCUGCAUGGAGCCGACCUUGAAAUACCACCCUUUAAUGUUUGAUGUUCUAACGUGGACCCGUGAUCCGGGUUGCGGACAGUGUCUGGUGGGUAGUUUGACUGGGGCGGUCUCCUCCUAAAGAGUAACGGAGGAGCACGAAGGUUGGCUAAUCCUGGUCGGACAUCAGGAGGUUAGUGCAAUGGCAUAAGCCAGCUUGACUGCGAGCGUGACGGCGCGAGCAGGUGCGAAAGCAGGUCAUAGUGAUCCGGUGGUUCUGAAUGGAAGGGCCAUCGCUCAACGGAUAAAAGGUACUCCGGGGAUAACAGGCUGAUACCGCCCAAGAGUUCAUAUCGACGGCGGUGUUUGGCACCUCGAUGUCGGCUCAUCACAUCCUGGGGCUGAAGUAGGUCCCAAGGGUAUGGCUGUUCGCCAUUUAAAGUGGUACGCGAGCUGGGUUUAGAACGUCGUGAGACAGUUCGGUCCCUAUCUGCCGUGGGCGCUGGAGAACUGAGGGGGGCUGCUCCUAGUACGAGAGGACCGGAGUGGACGCAUCACUGGUGUUCGGGUUGUCAUGCCAAUGGCACUGCCCGGUAGCUAAAUGCGGAAGAGAUAAGUGCUGAAAGCAUCUAAGCACGAAACUUGCCCCGAGAUGAGUUCUCCCUGAGACUUAAAGUCUCCUGAAGGAACGUUGAAGACGACGACGUUGAUAGGCCGGGUGUGUAAGCGCAGCGAUGCGUUGAGCUAACCGGUACUAAUGAACCGUGAGGCUUAACCUU
rnacentral:rRNA from 1 species